GAUUAUUUAGUUUAAAUUAAAACAAAUGUCUUGAAAACAUUAAAUAAGAAAUCUUAAUAAUUA
rnacentral:tRNA from 1 species